AGGUGUACCUACACCACAUGGACUGCAGAAGUUCAAGAAGUUUGCAGGCAAUUUGUUUCAUUGUGCUGCCGGCCUUUGUGAUUGCACACGUCAAUGUAAGGGGGCAGACUUGUGCAUGGUCUUCGUGGGAACUUUUGGCUUGUUGUGCAGCCAUGCAGCUUAGAGGGAUAUUGGUGUGAUGUACGGAGACAGUCAAGUUGAAACGCAGGAAAGGGAAUACAACUGAUUUUGGCCAGUCUUCCAAGAUGUGAAGAUGGUUAAACAAUUUCCAGCUUGAGUUCUUCAAAGAAGUUACUUUUAAUCGAAAGGAAUCAACUGGAUAAAUACCACAAUUCGGGCUUCUAGUCUUCAAUGCUGAAUAAGACAUUGAUAUUGAAGGCUCACAUAUUCUGCAUGCACCAUUUCAUUCUCUCAGAAUCACAGAAUGGUUACAGCACAGAAGGAGGCCAUUCCACUUGGUGUGGCUGUGCUGGCUCUUCAAAGGAACUAUUCAUCUAGUGCUACUCCCCCACCUUCUAUAUUCUGAAAGGUACAAGUUGAAACUGUUUACUGUUUUGUGAAGUGUCAUCUGAUUCAUCCAAAGAAAGUUUCCAUUCUCAGAAAUAAACACCCUCAAUGUGUUGGAAUUGUAUUGAUAAAUCUCCACAAUCAACCUAUCUUAUUGGAAGGCUGCCAGCUGCAUCUUAUUCCUUUUCACCAAUGUUGCAAAUGUACAUCUCAGAGUAAAAUCACUGUUUUAUGUUUCGGUUUUCAUGCACAGCAUGGUAUCUAAAUUGUCUCAGUCUGGACUGUCCAACAUAAUCUAGUCUGAAAGAUGUCAAUUAUUGACUGAACUGAAUUUGUCAACAGCAGGAUCAGUGUGCAACACUGAGUUAAAUGCAAGAGACAUCAAAGACAAGGUAGAACAGUGCUAUAUUAAUCACACCUCUUAACUACAAUUUAAGGAUAUGAUCAAUGCCACUAUUAGGUAAGUAUUGGGAUUACAGUAAAGGUAAUUGGAUAUUUAAUAAUGACCUAAAAAUUUAAAUCAUAAGUGUAACAGUGACUUAAUGCCUCAGCUGGAUUGAACUCAAUAAUAAUAUGAUUGAAAUAUGUUCACUAUCCAAGAUGAUGCUCUAAGGUUACUUUGUGGGCAUCCCUGGGGUGAAUAAUCUUUUUGUCUAGUUUUAACAAACUUGACAUGUACCAUAAUUUAUUUGGGGGCUUGUUCCAUUUUGUUUACCUAGACCCCUUUGUAUGGUGUCAAUAAUGUAUACAGACAUAUCUUGGAAAGUUUUAACACAGCCCAUGGGAACUUGAGGAAGAUAGCAGUUAUGCAUAUAAUAGAGUUGCAUAAACUCAUACAACAUCCCGAUUAAUAUGACUGUCUGGCUCUUAUUCUUGCCUAAAGACCAAGGCCACUGAAAUCAGAGUCCUUCUUUAUUGGUCUGACACAACCUGUUUUUGAUUUACCAAUUUGCCAUGUUGCCUGAAUACUGAAAUCACAUAAGGAAAUUAACUCCUUGAGUUGGAUUGCAAGCCUCUCACAAAAUGAAGAAAAACUAAUAACCUAAUGUGGACAAGUCCUCAUUCUCUCAUACAUGCAUUGCAAUGUUAAUAUUUUGUAUGUUUUUUCUAUGAAUCAUUUUAUUUAUAAAUAAAUAUGGGCAAUAAGUUGCCCCGCACCUAGA